rnacentral:rRNA from 1 species
UUUAAAAUUAAUUAAAAGCGACGGGCAAUAUGUAUAUAUUAUUUUAAAAUAUUAAAUUAUUAAAUUUAUAAUAAUUUAAUUUUAAAUCCAUUUUUAUUUAAAUAUUAAAAUUUAAAAUCCAAUUAAAUUUAUUUAAUGUAUUUCAUUUUAAACCUUAAAUUUUUAAUAUAUUAUGAUUUGAAUUAAAUUAUAAUAAAAUAAUUAUUAAUAAAUUUUAUUAUAAAAUUAAUUAAACAACAAUAUAUAAUUUUAUUAAAUUAAGUAUAUUUUAAUGUGUAUUAUCAAUUAAUAAACAAAAUCCUCUAAUUUUAAAUAAUACUACCAAAUUAUUUAAUUUUUUUUAAUUUAAUAAUAAUUAUUAAAAAUUUAAUAAAUUUAUAUAAUA